rnacentral:rRNA from 1 species
GAUGAACGCUAGCGGCAGGCUUAAUACAUGCAAGUCGUGGGGCAGCAGGGUUGUAGCAAUACAAUCGCUGGCGACCGGCAAACGGGUGCGUAACACGUACGCAACCUUCCCGUUACUGUGGAAUAGCCCAGGGAAACUUGGAUUAAUACCACAUAUUAUAUUGAUGAGGCAUCUCGUUGAUAUCAAAGCUUCGGCGGUAACGGAUGGGCGUGCGGUUGAUUAGGUAGUUGGCGGGGUAACGGCCCACCAAGCCUACGAUCAAUAGCUGAUGUGAGAGCAUGAUCAGCCACACGGGCACUGAGACACGGGCCCGACUCCUACGGGAGGCAGCAGUAAGGAAUAUUGGGCAAUGGACGAAAGUCUGACCCAGCCAUGCCGCGUGAAGGAUUAAGGUCCUCUGGAUUGUAAACUUCUUUUCUCUGGGGCGAAAACCAGCUAUUCUUAGCUAUUUGACAGUACCAGAGGAAUAAGCACCGGCUAACUCCGUGC